CCUUUGAGUUUCAUAACUCACAUGUUAUAAUAAGGGGGGUUAUGGUUCUCACAAGAAUGCAAGACAUUCUCUUCUUCUUCCUCCCAUUGAGAGAGAGAGAGCAAAAACUUGUUCUUGCAUAUCAAGUGGAAAACCAAUCCUCACAUUUGUCUUGGAUAUCAAGUGAAAGCCAAAACUUCAAGACAAUCUUCAAGAAGGAUCAAGGAGCUUCCAAAGGCGAACCUUGAACAAUCUUCAAGAAGGAUUAAGGAGCUUCCACUUAUGGAUUCAGGUACGCUUCCGCUUAUGUUGUUGUUCCGAGUAAUUCGAUAUGAAGG
rnacentral:lncRNA from 1 species